rnacentral:rRNA from 1 species
GUGAGGAAUAUUGGUCAAUGGGCGAGAGCCUGAACCAGCCAAGUCGCGUGAAGGAAGAAGGUUCUAUGGAUUGUAAACUUCUUUUGCAUGGGAAUAAAGUGAGCUACGAGUAGUUUAUUGUAUGUACUGUGCGAAUAAGGAUCGGCUAACUCCGUGCCAGCAGCCGCGGUAAUACGGAGGAUCCGAGCGUUAUCCGGAUUUAUUGGGUUUAAAGGGUGCGUAGGCGGGAGAUUAAGUCAGCGGUGAAAGUUUGCAGCUUAACUGUAAAAUUGCCGUUGAAACUGAUUUUCUUGAGUGUAAAUAAGGUAGGCGGAAUGUGUUGUGUAGCGGUGAAAUGCAUAGAUAUAACACAGAACCCCGAUUGCGAAGGCAGCUUACCGGGCUACAACUGACGCUGAGGCACGAAAGCGUGGGGAUCAAACAGGAUUAGAAACCCCUGUAGUCC